GAUAAGGUGGCUGAGAAUGCAGGCGUUAGACUGUAAAUCUAAAGACAAGUUAAUCCUUUCUUAUCA
rnacentral:tRNA from 1 species